rnacentral:rRNA from 1 species
CCUACGGGAGGCAGCAGUGGGGAAUUUUGGACAAUGGGCGAAAGCCUGAUCCAGCAAUGCCGCGUGAGUGAAGAAGGCCUUCGGGUUGUAAAGCUCUUUUGUCAGGGAAGAAACGGUGAGAGCUAAUAUCUCUUGCUAAUGACGGUACCUGAAGAAUAAGCACCGGCUAACUACGUGCCAGCAGCCGCGGUAAUACGUAGGGUGCAAGCGUUAAUCGGAAUUACUGGGCGUAAAGCGUGCGCAGGCGGUUUUGUAAGUCUGAUGUGAAAUCCCCGGGCUCAACCUGGGAAUUGCAUUGGAGACUGCAAGGCUAGAAUCUGGCAGAGGGGGGUAGAAUUCCACGUGUAGCAGUGAAAUGCGUAGAUAUGUGGAGGAACACCGAUGGCGAAGGCAGCCCCCUGGGUCAAGAUUGACGCUCAUGCACGAAAGCGUGGGGAGCAAACAGGAUUAGAUACCCGUGGUAGUCCACGCCCUAAACGAUGUCUACUAGUUGUCGGGUCUUAAUUGACUUGGUAACGCAGCUAACGCGUGAAGUAGACCGCCUGGGGAGUACGGUCGCAAGAUUAAAACUCAAAGGAUUGACGG